GAACCGUACCCACCGCUUAUGAAUGUACCGUACCCACCGCUAAAAACAUGAGAAAUCCACCGCACCGCACUGCGUAGCAUAGAGAAACUCAUUCUUCUUUCACCUUUUAAGAUCGUUCCUCCGUCGCAUUGCCUCAGUGACUUCAUAGUUGAAAAUCAUUCUACAGUUGAAAAAUUGUGCGCGCUCUAUAAAGAGGGAGGAAAAAGGGAAAAAUCCAUCAUUGAGUGAUUUCUAUUUUCGUACACAUCGAAAAAAAGAUCAUAGUUGGGUGGGUCCUCAUGCAAAAUAUGCUUAUGAGAAGUUUGAAAAAAGAAAGUUUCAAUUAUCCUCUCAAAGCUCAACAUUUACUCCAGGAGAGGAUGGAGCUGAUAGCCAACCAUCCACAAAUCACACGCCUUCUGACUUGGAUGUGUGGGUAGAUGCAAUUGGAAAGAAAAAAGGAAAAGUCUUUGGACUUGGGUCUAUGGGAAAAAUAUUAGUAACAUCUUCCAAUCAAUCAUUAAUGUCUUCUAUUGAGGAUGUUGAUGAUUUAAGAAAUCAAAUUCAUACAUUAAAUGAAUCACUACAAAGACAAGAGGAAGAGAAGCUACAAAUGAAACAAGAAUUAAAUGAUGCUAGGAAAGAAGUGCAAGCUACUAAGAAAGAAGUACAAGAUACUAGGAACCAAGUGCACACCUUAAUGCAAUACUUGGGGUUUGUUGGCUCUUCUUCCCAUCCAUAUUCAUCACCUCAACUUAGUAAUGAAAGUGAAGAUGAUGAUGAUGAUGAAGAGAGUGAUCAUAUCGGAUAGGUGUGAUUGAACAAAGCCUUAGUGAAGAAUGGAUGGAGUUUUUCUUAAUAUAGGUGUUGAUGCUUAAUCACAUUACGGACAACUACUUUUAACUUGAUUUUAAAUCUAGAUACUUUAUUUUUUGACUAGAUAUAUAUGUUUUUUUUAGUUAAGAUAGAUUGACAUUGCAGUUAUAUGUUAAGAACCUUAAUUACUCUAUGAAAUGUGGGGUUGGUCUUGUUUACAAAUGGCUGCAGCUUAAAGAAUAAAAUACUACAUAUGCCCAAAAUUUCACAAUAAGCAAA